rnacentral:rRNA from 1 species
UACGUAGGGUGCGAGCGUUGUCCGGAAUUACUGGGCGUAAAGAGCUCGUAGGUGGUUUGUCGCGUUGUCCGUGAAAACUCACAACUCAAUUGUGGGCGUGCGGGCGAUACGGGCAGACUGGAGUACUGCAGGGGAGACUGGAAUUCCUGGUGUAGCGGUGGAAUGCGCAGAUAUCAGGAGGAACACCGGUGGCGAAGGCGGAUCUCUGGGCCUUACCUGACGCUGAGGAGCGAAAGCUGGGGGAGCGAACAGG